UACGUAGGGGGCAAGCGUUGUCCGGAUUUAUUGGGCGUAAAGAGCGUGUAGGCGGCCAUACAGGUCCGUUGUGAAAACUGGAGGCUUAACCUCCAGACGUCGAUGGAAACCGUGUGGCUAGAGUCCGGAAGAGGAGAGUGGAAUUCCUGGUGUAGCGGUGAAAUGCGCAGAGAUCAGGAAGAACACCGGUGGCGAAAGCGCUCUGCUGGACCUUAACUGACACUGAGGGACGAAAGCUAGGGGAGCGAAUGGG
rnacentral:rRNA from 1 species